rnacentral:rRNA from 1 species
AGUGAACGCUGGCGGUAGGCCUAACACAUGCAAGUCGAACGGCAGCACAGUAAGAGCUUGCUCUUACGGGUGGCGAGUGGCGGACGGGUGAGGAAUACAUCGGAAUCUACUUUUUCGUGGAGGAUAACGUAGGGAAACUUACGCUAAUACCGCAUACGACCUACGGGUGAAAGCAGGGGAUCUUCGGACCUUGCGCGAUUGAAUGAGCCGAUGUCGGAUUAGCUAGUUGGCGGGGUAAAGGCCCACCAAGGCGACGAUCCGUAGCUGGUCUGAGAGGAUGAUCAGCCACACUGGAACUGAGACACGGUCCAGGCUCCUACGGGAGGCAGCAGUGGGGAAUAUUGGACAAUGGGCGCAAGCCUGAUCCAGCCAUACCGCGUGGGUGAAGAAGGCCUUCGGGUUGUAAAGCCCUUUUGUUGGGAAAGAAAAGCAGCAGGUUAAUACCCCGCUGUUCUGACGGUACCCAAAGAAUAAGCACCGGCUAACUUCGUGC